rnacentral:misc_RNA from 1 species
GCUACCGAGUCCUGCACGUCGCCGCCCGCAUCACCCGCGGCGCCCGACAGAUCCGACUGCGCAUCGACUCCACCUGGCGAUGGGCGGCCGCCAUAUGCCAAGGGUGGCAACGACUUCGAGCCGCCUUCCCGUGACCACCCGGUCCACCGUCCACUCGACCCGAAAGACCCUUCGGCCCUGGGAAAGCCCGCCCGCCGAGCGACACCGGCCGACUUGUCACACCCGCCUGCCACAAUCAACCCGCGCAAACCUGCCAGCACCGGCCUCACACCACCGACGCGGCCACACGAAAAAUCGAGGCUAGUACCCACCGUUUACGGCGUGGACUAC